rnacentral:rRNA from 1 species
AUGCACGCUGACAGAAUGCUUAACACAUGCAAGUCUUUGGCGAAGCUGUGCUUGCACAGCCUAGCCAAGGCGGACGGGUGAGUAACGCGUAAGGAACUUGCCCUGCAGUCAGGGAUAACAGACGGAAACGACUGAUAAGACCUGGUAAAGUCAGGCGGACUCAUGUCCAGCCUGAUGAAAAGAGAUGCUGCAGGAGAGCCUUGCGUCCUAUUAGCUUGUUGGUGGGGUAACGGCCCACCAAGGCGAUGAUAGGUAGCCGGCCUGAGAGGGUGGACGGCCACAAGGGGACUGAGAUACGGCCCUUACUCCUACGGGAGGCAGCAGUGGGGAAUAUUGGACAAUGGGGGCAACCCUGAUCCAGCAAUUCUGUGUGCACGAUGAAGGUUUUCGGAUUGUAAAGUGCUUUCAGCAGGGAAGAAAAAAUGACGGUACCUGCAGAAGAAGCGACGGCUAAAUACGUG